rnacentral:rRNA from 1 species
UACGGAGGGGGCUAGCGUUGUUCGGAAUUACUGGGCGUAAAGCGCACGUAGGCGGCUUUGUAAGUUAGAGGUGAAAGCCCAGGGCUCAACCCUGGAAUUGCCUUUAAGACUGCAUCGCUUGAACAUCGGAGAGGUAAGUGGAAUUCCGAGUGUAGAGGUGAAAUUCGUAGAUAUUCGGAAGAACACCAGUGGCGAAGGCGACUUACUGGACGAUCGUUGACGCUGAGGUGCGAAAGCGUGGGGAGCAAACAGG